rnacentral:rRNA from 1 species
UACAGAGGUCCCAAGCGUUGUUCGGAUUCACUGGGCGUAAAGGGUGCGUAGGUGGCCGAGUAAGUCUGACGUGAAAUCUCCAAGCUCAACUUGGAAACUGCGUCGGAUACUAUCCGGCUAGAGGAUCGGAGGGGAGACUGGAAUACUUGGUGUAGCAGUGAAAUGCGUAGAUAUCAAGUGGAACACCAGUGGCGAAGGCGAGUCUCUGGACGAUUCCUGACACUGAGGAGCGAAAGCGUGGGGAGCGAACAGG